AAUAUGACCAAACCUAACAUAUUUUGAACGGUCCGUUAGCGAAAGUAACAUUGUAAAAUGUCAUUGUUUGUUACGUGGGGUUGUUUGGGUUGAUUUUUUAUUGUCUAAAUGGGCUUUUACGGUCCAAUUGAUAUUCGACCAUUAGAUUCUGUGUUUGUAGCAGCAGCCUUUAGGUUUGUUUUUUUAGCAGAGGCUAUAAUACCAGAGAACAAAUCAGAAGUUUUGAAGUUGACGACGACACUCUCCAUCUCUCCGGUGCCGAGUUUCUCGUCAACCUCCAUCAGAUCUUUUCGCCCUCCUUCUUCUUCUAUCUCUUCGUUCAUCUCAUUUGUCCCUUAAGUUUCCAGACUUGCCACACCAAGUUCCACAACCCCCAAUUUAGAAGAGUUUCAUACACCGGAGACUAUCCCAAGAAUCAACAACGGCGGGAUCAAAC
rnacentral:lncRNA from 1 species